CGCCGUAAACUAUGGAUGCUAGCUGUUAACCGUAUCGACCCGGUUAGUAGCGAAGCUAACGCGUUAAGCAUCCCGCCUGUGGAGUACGGUCGCAAGACUAAAACAUAAAGGAAUUGACGGGGACCCGCACAAGCGGUGGAGCGUGUUCUUUAAUUCGAAGGUAAGCGAAGAACCUUACCAGGGUUUGACAUCCUAGGAAUCUUUCCGAAAGGAAAGAGUGCUUUAUUGAGCCUAGUGACAGGUGUUGCAUGGCCGUCGUCAGCUCGUGUCGUGAGAUGUUUGGUUAAGUCCAUCAACGAGCGCAACCCUUGUAUUCAGUUGGAUUUUUCUGAAUAGACUGCCCCGGCAACGGGGAGGAAGGAGGGGAUGAUGUCAGGUCAGUAUUACCCUUACACCCUGGGCUAGAAACACGCUACAAUGGCCGGUACAAAGGGCUGCCAAGUCGCGAGACGGAGCAAAUCCCAUCAAAGCCGGUCUCAGUUCGGAUAGCAGGCUGAAACUCGCCUGCUUGAAGCUGGAAUCGCUAGUAACGGUAGGUCAGCACACUACCGUGAAUACGUUCCCGGGUCUUGUACACACCGCCCGUCAAACCAUGAAAGUCGCCAAUACCUGACGUGUUGCCUUUGCGCAGCCCUAAGGUAGGGGAGAUGAUUGGGGUUAAGUCGUAACA
rnacentral:rRNA from 1 species